rnacentral:tRNA from 1 species
GAGAAGUUAGUAUAUAAAAUACAUUAAAUUGUCAAUUUAAAGAUCUUUUAGAAAAGAAAG